rnacentral:tRNA from 1 species
AUUUAUAUAAUAUAAAAAUUAUAUUUGACUUCCAAUCAAAAAAUCUAAUCAUUUAGUAUAAAUA